rnacentral:rRNA from 1 species
GCUGGCGGCAUGCUUAACACAUGCAAGUCGAACGAGAUCUUCGGAUCUAGUGGCGCACGGGUGAGUAACACGUGGGAACCUGCCUUUAGGUACGGGAUAACGUCUGGAAACGGACGCUAAUACCGUAUAUUUCCUCCGGGAAAAAGGUCCGCCGCCUAAAGAGGGGCCCGCGUCAGAUUAGCUUGUUGGUGGGGUAAAGGCCUACCAAGGCAACGAUCUGUAGUUGGUCUGAGAGGAUGAUCAGCCACACUGGGACUGAGACACGGCCCAGACUCCUACGGGAGGCAGCAGUGGGGAAUAUUGGACAAUGGGGGAAACCCUGAUCCAGCAAUGCCGCGUGUGUGAUGAAGGCCCUAGGGUUGUAAAGCACUUUCAACGGUGAAGAUGAUGACGGUAGCCGUAGAAGAAGCCCCGGCUAACUUCGUGCCAGCAGCCGCGGUAAUACGAAGGGGGCGAGCGUUGUUCGGAAUAACUGGGCGUAAAGGGCGCGUAGGCGGUCUAUCCAGUUGGGCGUGAAAGCCCUGGGCUCAACCCAGGAAUUGCGUCCAAUACUAAUAGACUAGAGACCGAGAGAGGAUAGUGGAAUUUCCAGUGUAGAGGUGAAAUUCGUAGAUAUUGGAAAGAACACCAGUGGCGAAAGCGGCUAUCUGGCUCGGUUCUGACGCUGAGGCGCGAAAGCGUGGGGAGCAAACAGGAUUAGAUACCCUGGUAGUCCACGCCGUAAACGAUGACUGCUAGAUGUCGGGAGGUUACCUUUCGGUGUCGUCGCUAACGCAUUAAGCAGUCCGCC